rnacentral:misc_RNA from 1 species
UUUUGGCCACCGCUGGCCGUCCCUCUGCUGUUUCGGUGGUGAUCACUUUUGCUGCCAUCUCGCCUUGCGCCGAGGGUUAGUCUUUACGAAAUUUCGUCAUCGUCGUCAGGGUUGCACCCCCUCCAUUGGUUGCGAUAAGCGCUGACGAGGAAGGUGGAUCGCGCGCCCCUGAGCGUUUCCGUGCGUGAGUUUAGACGUGUGGGAGCGCUAGCGUAUCUUGUGGCCGCGCCCUCCCCUUCCCUUUCUCCGCUUCAGUCUCGCCUUCUUUUUACUACCUUUUUGUUUUGCUUCUGCCCAUGUGCACACACCCUUUGUGACCCGUUGUGCAACCUGUGCUCCCCCUCUUCCCAUUUCCCCUUGAAACGCCACACGAGAGGGGAGCAUCUUGACAGGAGCUCGACGUAGACAGCCGUGGCGUUUGAUACAGUUGCUAUGGGGGCUCUUUCCUUUUCACUGAACCGCCUCUUACACCCCCCCCCUCUGCGCCUCUGCUGCUGAUCGACACAUCCUUUUGGCGAGAGCCUUCGUCUUUUCUUUCUCUUCUAAAUAGUGGCCUCCCUCCUCGUGGCGCUCACACAGCUCAACUGAAGCGUGGAGCGACCGUCAUUGAACAGAACUUCAGAGCCCUAGUGCACGCGCGCUUGCCGCUCUCUCACUUCUCCGGGCCACUGCCUUCUACGGGAGCCCCUCACUCUCCUGAGUAGCAAGAGCGACGGACUCGAUAUGCCCUCCGUAAGUCUGCGCAGUGGCGAUGCUGCAGCAAAUUUAGCAUCGACGCAGUCCCCCUUCGCAGGGAGACAAAGUGCCUCUUUAUCCUCUCACGGCAGCGCUGAGGGCAAUGACGAUGGCAGGCGAUUAGCUCGCGAGUCGGCGCCGCCGCCGCAGCAGCAGCAGCAGCAGAAGCAGCAACGCGCACCGAAGCCCUCCGCGCCGAUCUCAAAGGGCGAAUUCGUGCAGAAGGCGCGGGAGAGGGUGGACGCAUCCGCCAAGGCGCGCGGCAGCCGCCCGUCUUGGAGGGAGUGUCAGCCCGAGGAAAAGCCUCGCAAGCGCCGGAAACAGCACGUGGAAAAGGAGGAUAGGCAGAAGGUGGCGCUGCGGCAGUCAUCGGCGCAUCGUCGUCGCGUCAUCCCGACCCCACCGCACCGGCAAAUUUUCCUCGUUGGCAAUUACUACUGCGGCGCAGGUGUGCUUAGCGCGCAGAAGCACGAGAGCUUCCUCGCUGCGUACUCGAGCGGCGGCGGUGGCGUUGGCAAUGCCCGUGGCGUUGAUGGAGGGAUGACGUAUGCGGGUGCGUCAACCACGGUGCUGCCCAACCACGCCGGCACCGGCAUGUCUGCCCCGAAAGGCAUGUCGCUUCACGCUUCCCCUCCUGUCCCAUCCGGCGUCCAGCCCUUUAGCAACUCCUUGGGUAUCCUCAACAUGCAGACAGGAUCGCCAUCGCACAGUCCAAUGGCACAGUCGUCCACUAACGCCGCUGCUUUUGCAAACUCCCAUCGUAGCCAUCGCAAGCGCAGGGGCUCCGAGAAGCUGCGUGUGAUGCAGCGCUUCUACGAGCCGGUGGAGCUGCAGGUGGAGUCCAUCUCAGCCUUCGCGAUGCGACUCACCCUUGUGCUGUGGCACGCGUGCCUUAUCGCGGCUCUCGUCGUCGAAGUCAUUCCGAAGGUGCAAUGGUCGAUGGUGAACAUCUGUGGCACAGCUUACGGCGUAGAUCUGCGGCACAUGGACAAGUGGACGAGCCCCUGCGUGACUUCGCCGACUGCAGCGGCUAACGGCACCCUCGCGACACCAGCGACGGUGUCGCUUAGGUGGGUCGGCUCGACCUUGACCCAUCAGCAUAGCAGUAUGGUGCGCUACCGGCGCGUGGCCUUUAGUCUACCUCCGCCAACUGACCAGGCAGGUAUAGUGCAGGUGUACAACGUCGUCGCCGAGAAUCGCAUAUCGGGCAACGGAGUCGAGCGGGUCUCGGAGUACCCCUUGUCGAUUCGCUGCGACAGGACGAAGACUCGGUGCGAUGUGGCGCGUGUGCCGGAGCUCUUGCUUGGCAACACGCCCACGCUUGCGGGCGAGUUCAGCUUUACCCUGACCUUGGUGCCGGAAUCGCUGGCGGCCGGGGCGGCCGGUGGCUCCGUCGGCAUUGCCUACCAACGCUCUGCCUACACGGUUGCCACGAUUGUGUGGCGCUACACACUGAUGGUCUUUUCCCUAAUUCACACGCUACGCUUUGUCGCGUACUGCAAGUACACGAGCGCCCUGUACGAGCAGAGCUGGACGCUUGUCCUGCAGGUGGCGCUACUGUGGUACAUGAACCCGCUGUUCGCGCUGAACAUCACGAGCUGGCCCUUAUCCUCCAUGCUAGCCUUCAUGGAGUACCGCAUCCCCACCUACUUCAUGGCGGUGUCGAUCGCGUACAUGCUCUCCGUCAUGACCGCCUCGAUGAUGUGGGCCCGCCCUCUCGAAGCGAAGCCGAACGACGGCGCCUUCGCCAAGCUCAAGGCCUUACUCGCGCGGAGCCGAAACGUGUGCGACCCACCCAUGUGGACGAAGAUCCUCAUCUCUGUCUACAUGCUCAGCAUCUGUGUGCUGGACAUUGUGGAUGCGAGCGUGAACAAGUACAUGUGGCAGCUCACCUCCAACAGCGAGGUGCGGUUCAAGCGGCUCUACUGGUUCGUCAUCAUCCUUCAGAUUUCUGGCGGUCUCGUCUGCCUGUUGCUCCUCUUCUACCUACGCAGCUACCUCGGGAAAAAGCCGUACUUGGAAAGCCGUCCGCAGCAGCUUGCCUGCCGUGUGUUCUUGAUGGUCUUCCUGUCCGCCAUUGCUUACUGCGUGAUUCACUGUCUCGUUUUCUUUUUGUUCUACAACCGCGGCUACCCGGCGCUGGCCUCGCAGCAGCCAUUGCUGCAACUUCCGAUGUUGAUGGUCGCGAGCUUCUUUGUGAAUAUCAUGACGCUUGUCUACACCUCGCAGAGCCGCGACGAGAACGUACCCGUCAACCCGAGGGACCCACGUUGGAAACACAUGGUGUGGCCCGACACGUGGUAUCGCUGGUUGGCGCGGCACGGCGGCAGCCAGUACAUCUUUGUCACAGAACAGGAGGAGACGCGGUUUUACCGUCUUCAGUUUCAAUUUCGACGGCGGCAGUACAUGGCGAAGCAGAAACGGCUUCAGAACGCGGGCGGAGCGGUGGCGAGCUUCGUACCCACUUUGGCCGGCUCCAUCGCCGCCACCACGCCGUGGGAGCGCACGCAGAACGCAAUGCAGUCCAACCUGUUGCCCCCCAUGCGUGAAAUGCAGGGUGACGGCUGCCGUGCGACGAGCUCGCUGCAGCGCGACGGCGGCGCUCCCGUGUCGUGGCGCACUGACGUAUGCGCGUCGCCGCAGCCGAGCCGCCUGGUGAGUGCGACAGACACGGACGACGACGCCGAUGACGGCGGCAGCCAGCACCAUGAGGAGUCACCGGUUGCGCGGGACAACAGUCGUGGCACUAUCAGCCUCGUGCGCUGCGAUGGCCGUUCGGGUGUGCCGGCCGCACGAGGAGCAAGCCACCUGGCCAUCGAGCCGAGUCCGUCGCGACGCUUCGGCGAUGACAGUGGCGCUGGUGCUGCAACCACCACACUCGACAUGCGGAGCAGUGGCUUUUGGCGCGGCCAUAGUGAUGUAGACUCGAAUGGCUUGAUGCCGGUGAGCGUGGCGGCACGCCACAUCAUCAACAUGGAUCGCUUUAGCACCUACUUUCUAGCAGACGGCGACGGCACCGCUGGUGGUGGCGGAGGCGUUACGGAGUCGUACGCCGGCGUUAGGCGCGAUAGGUCAUUGGCAGGAGACGCAUACGCUAUUGAAGGCCCCGCGCGAUGGCGGUCCCGGAUUCGGCAGAACGCAUCUGCCGCGCGAGGUCUUGACGGCGGAGACGGCAGCGCUACGUUUUGUAGGUUUUCGCAGCGCCAGGCAGCAUUGUCGGCGAAUACCUUGGCGCACACGUACAGUGGUUUUGACUGCCACAGCGGCCGUGCUUCUCCGUCACUGGCGCCGUUGAAGCAUGCUGGGUGGUGCCAGCACCACGCACGCUCCCGUUCGGAUGGGAACGCUCCCACUAACUCGUGGGGGGAUGCGGACGCGGAGUCCGCCAGACGCAGCCGCAAGACUGUCUCACGGCAUGCCACGCCUCCACUGGCGCCGCGGUCACGCUACCGAGAUCCCUCCGCCGGUACAGGCGUGGCAGGGGACACUGAGAUACCCAUAGCAGCGUUCUCGAGAGCGUUGCAGGCGGCAGCUGCGACGCCAGCGGAGGCUUCAGUCUCGGUGUUGCCGCACACCGAGGUGGACGAGGAGUGGCACAAACAUGACAAGCGGCGACUAAGCGAAAGCGAAGUCGCCUUAGGCACCAACAAUGACACCUUCGUGCGCCAGCGCGAUUCUCUGCCGUGCGCGAUGCUUCCGAUGCAGGCGCCGACUGCAGACGCAUCCGAUGCUAACGAUGGAAGCAAUCUCAAAGGAACGCCGCUUGUGGGGAAGGACGACCCUCCCACUGUGUCGUGCAUUUCACCACUGUUGACGGCAGACGCGUCUUGCGUUGCGCCAGCGAGCAGCGGUGUUGAUGCCAAUGCGCGACAGGUCUCUGUACAUGGCGACACAGGAAGUCAUCCGCGCAUAUCGCACUCCAGAGAUGGCGACGCGCUAUUCGACCUCUCUUUGCGCACCUCGGGCGACAGCGAUGAUACCAGCAGCAGCGACCGCACGCGUGGCGGCACUCGCUCUUUGAUGCGCACCCUGGUUCUGGCGCGGGAGCGCUUGGGAGCGCUGAUCGGGACGGCGGAGCAGAACCUGCUGGAACGGCCGGUUCGUGGCUUGGAGCGGCUCGAGACGCACAUCUUCGACGCAGCGUAUCGGCCUUUUCAGUCAAUGCAGUACCUGCCCUUUUUCAACCUCGAGACUGCCAUCGACUGCUUUAACAUCUCCUGGGAGGCCUACGGUGUGGAGGAGAGCACUGGCGGCCAGGCGAUCGAGACGGGUAUUCAGAUGACGCCGCAGAGCGUUCCUCGCGCUGUGGCCAACGCUAUCAAGAAUCGACUCUGCGGCUGCUGCCCAGCGGAGGAAGACACGGGCGACGACGACGCCGAAGAUGACAGCGGAAGAGAGGCAGAUCAGGCAGUCGCGGGCGCGCGGGAAGUCGCUGGCUCAAUUGGCGGCGCUAGCGAGGGCAGUGCAGCAGUCGCGUCCGCCAUCGGCGACGCUCGCACGGGGCAGGAGAUGCAUGUGCCCACCACGCCGUGCACGCGUGACUCGGACACGGUCAUUGUUCAUAUACGCAGCGAAGAUGACAGCGGCGGCGCAGCCGCGUCACCGCCAACCUCCACGCCUGCACUCGCCGGUAAGCGUCCGCCCAGCCGUUCCGCCUUGUCACCCACUGAGACUGAAUCGGGGGCGCCGGCGCCGACGGUAGCCGCAGCCGCAGCCACCGUCGCCGACUCGGCGGUGCUGCCCAUGAACGUCGAGAAGUAUGGCUUUGUGCGGCUACUGGUAGCGGAGGCGAGGGAGGUGCAGGUGCUCAUGGUGAAGAUGGACACGAGCGCUCGUGAACACAAGGGCAAGGCGCCGCGCGUCAUCAUCGGCUUCCGCGGGACCGCGAACAUGACCAACGCCAAGUACGACAUGAACAUUCACCGGGUCGUGUGGCGGGAGAUGGAGAAGACGGCCGACAGGGAGGCAGCGAACGCGGCGGGCGAAGAGGUGUCCGAGUUGGCGAGCACCUUUGACGACGGCAGCACCACAGCUGCGCAGCACCUCGGCUGUGCGUCGUGCAUCCAUUCGUGCAUGCGCAAGACGUCGUGGCGGCCCACCUGCCACGCCGGGUUUCUUACCAUCUGGAAGACGCUGAAGCCUACAGUGCUGUCGCGGUUGCGCGACGUCCUGUGUGACGACCGCGGCACCGUCUACCGCAUCUUCACAACCGGCCACAGCCUCGGCGGCGCCCUGGCGUCCCUCUGCGCGUAUAGCAUCACCUACAUGCUGAGGCGCAUGGACUACCCCAUCGCCGACGUGACCGUCUACACGUACGGCCAGCCACGCAUGGGCAAUCGAGCGUUCCAGCACAUUUACAACAAGGCCGUUCCGCGCACAUUCCGCGUUGUGAAUGAGAGCGACGUUGUCGUGAACAUGUUCAUCUUUGGCGGCUACCACGUCGGCAUCGAGGUGGACGUGGACCGCAAUGGCAACUUUAUUGUGAAGCCGACAGCGAUUGAGAAACUGUUUCCGCCGACGAAGGGGCGGGGGUUGAUGGUGGUCAACCACCUCCUGACCAGCUACGGGAUUUCGCUGAAUGCGAUCGCCUCUCGGACCCCAUGCCCGGCGCGCGGGCUUGACUUUUACUUGACCGCCGACCCCGAAAAGGUGGAGGCCGAGACGGUGAAGAUGGAGGCAAUCCACGCGGCGCAGUCGUAGAGCCGAGAAGCAAGUCGACAGGACGUGCGCAGAGAGAGUGAGAGGGAGGUCCACACUGCCGAUAGCAAGUGGGGGGGCGAGAUCUGGUGACGACCACUAGGGAAGAUCGUUGCUGCCGUCAUGCCGAUAGGGGCACCCUCGUUGCGAGCGCGUGAUGGCUUGCGCACAGCUGCCGUCACUGCUCAGGUAUGCGAGAGGGGGAGAGAAAAAGAGGGACCUCUUUUUUGAUCUACCCACGUCAUGGGCGGGUAAACACACAUACGCUCAGCCGCACUCGUACGCGCGUGGCAAGCACGAUGCAUGAACCCGCCGCGUGCGCUCUUGCUGUUGUUGUCUGCUGAAGGGGCGGCUACAAAGAGCCGCUAAUUCACGCGCAUAACGGAGGAGACGCUGAUCUUCACGGCUGCGCGUGGGGACGCAUCACCACCAACACCACCGCCUCCUCCCUCCAUGGGUGGUGGUUCACUGCAUCGUGCAUAAUACAAACUUGCAGCUUGG